rnacentral:rRNA from 1 species
GUGGAUUAGAUACCCUAGUAGUCCACGCGGUAAACGAUGACGACUAGGUGUGGGGAGGUUUAGGCCUUUCCGUGCCGCAGCUAACGCAUUAAGUCGUCCGCCUGGGGAGUACGGCCGCAAGGUUGAAACUCAAAGGAAUUGACGGGGGCCCGCACAAGCGGUGGAGCAUGUGGUUCAAUUCGAUGCAGAGCGAAGAACCUUACCUGGGCUUGACAUGUAGGAAGUAGAAACCGGAAACGGGGACGACCUGUUAAGUCAGGAGCCUACACAGGUGGUGCACGGCCGUCGUCAGCU